rnacentral:rRNA from 2 species
CGGUUAAGUUAGAAAGGGCGCACGGUGGAUGCCUUGGCACUAGGAGCCGAUGAAGGACGGGACUAACACCGAUAUGCUUCGGGGAGCUGUAAGUAAGCUUUGAUCCGGAGAUUUCCGAAUGGGGAAACCCACUGUUCGUAAUGGAACAGUAUCUUUACCUGAAUACAUAGGGUACUGAAGGCAGACCCGGGGAACUGAAACAUCUAAGUACCCGGAGGAAGAGAAAGCAAACGCGAUUUCCUGAGUAGCGGCGAGCGAAACGGAAUUAGCCCAAACCAAGAGGCUUGCCUCUUGGGGUUGUAGGACACUCAACAUGGAGUUACAAAGGAACGGGGUAAAUGAAGCGACCUGGAAAGGUCCGUCGAAGAAGGUAAAAACCCUGUAGUUGAAACUUCGUUCCCUCCUGAGUGGAUCCUGAGUACGGCGGGACACGAGAAAUCCCGUCGGAAGCAGGGAGGACCAUCUCCCAAGGCUAAAUACUCCCUAGUGACCGAUAGUGAACCAGUACCGUGAGGGAAAGGUGAAAAGCACCCCGGAAGGGGAGUGAAAUAGAUCCUGAAACCGUGUGCCUACAAGUAGUCAAAGCCCGUUAAUGGGUAAUGGCGUGCCUUUUGUAGAAUGAACCGGCGAGUUACGAUUUCAUGCGAGGUUAAGUUGAUGAGACGGAGCCGCAGCGAAAGCGAGUCUGAAUAGGGCGAAUGAGUAUGAGGUCGUAGACCCGAAACCAGGUGAUCUACCCAUGUCCAGGGUGAAGUUCAGGUAACACUGAAUGGAGGCCCGAACCCACGCACGUUGAAAAGUGCGGGGAUGAGGUGUGGGUAGCGGAGAAAUUCCAAUCGAACCUGGAGAUAGCUGGUUCUCUCCGAAAUAGCUUUAGGGCUAGCCUCAAGAUGAGAGUAUUGGAGGUAGAGCACUGAUUGGACUAGGGGCCCCCAACGGGUUACCGAAUUCAGUCAAACUCCGAAUGCCAAAUACUUAUUCUUGGGAGUCAGACUGCGAGUGAUAAGAUCCGUAGUCGAAAGGGAAACAGCCCAGACCACCAGCUAAGGUCCCAAAGUAUACGUUAAGUGGAAAAGGAUGUGGAGUUGCUUAGACAACCAGGAUGUUGGCUUAGAAGCAGCCACCAUUUAAAGAGUGCGUAAUAGCUCACUGGUCGAGUGACUCCGCGCCGAAAAUGUACCGGGGCUAAACGUAUCACCGAAGCUGUGGAUUGACACCGUAUGGUGUCGAUGGUAGGAGAGCGUUCUAAGGGCGUUGAAGUCAGACCGGAAGGACUGGUGGAGCGCUUAGAAGUGAGAAUGCCGGUAUGAGUAGCGAAAGAAGGGUGAGAAUCCCUUCCACCGAAUGCCUAAGGUUUCCUGAGGAAGGCUCGUCCGCUCAGGGUUAGUCGGGACCUAAGCCGAGGCCGAAAGGCGUAGGCGAUGGACAACAGGUUGAUAUUCCUGUACCACCUAUACAUCGUUUGAACGAUGGGGGGACGCAGAAGGAUAGGGUAAGCGCGCUGUUGGAUAUGCGCGUCCAAGCAGUUAGGCCGGAAACGAGGCAAAUCCCGUUUCCAUUAAGGCGGAGCUGUGAUGGCGAGGGAAAUAUAGUACCGAAGUUCCUGAUUCCACGCUGCCAAGAAAAGCCUCUAGUGAGAUGUAAGGUGCCCGUACCGCAAACCGACACAGGUAGGCGAGGAGAGAAUCCUAAGGUGUGCGAGAGAACUCUCGUUAAGGAACUCGGCAAAAUGACCCCGUAACUUCGGGAGAAGGGGUGCUUUUUAGGGUGAAUAGCCCAGAAAAGCCGCAGUGAAUAGGCCCAGGCGACUGUUUAGCAAAAACACAGGUCUCUGCGAAGCCGCAAGGCGAAGUAUAGGGGCUGACACCUGCCCGGUGCUGGAAGGUUAAGGGGAGAGGUUAGCGCAAGCGAAGCUUUGAACCGAAGCCCCAGUAAACGGCGGCCGUAACUAUAACGGUCCUAAGGUAGCGAAAUUCCUUGUCGGGUAAGUUCCGACCCGCACGAAAGGUGUAACGAUCUGGGCACUGUCUCAACGAGAGACUCGGUGAAAUUAUAGUACCUGUGAAGAUGCAGGUUACCCGCGACAGGACGGAAAGACCCCGUGGAGCUUUACUGCAGCCUGAUAUUGAAUUUUGGUACAGCUUGUACAGGAUAGGUAGGAGCCUGAGAAGCCGGAGCGCCAGCUUCGGUGGAGGCGUUGGUGGGAUACUACCCUGGCUGUAUUGAAAUUCUAACCCGCGCCCCUUAUCGGGGUGGGAGACAGUGUCAGGUGGGCAGUUUGACUGGGGCGGUCGCCUCCUAAAGAG